GCGGGGGUGCCCGAGGGGACAAACCAGUGGGUCCAGAGGGGGCGGAGGCGCUAAGCUGCCCAGACUUAAGAUCCGCUGCCGCAGGGCUUCGUGGGUUCGAAUCCCAUCCCCCGCA
rnacentral:tRNA from 1 species